rnacentral:rRNA from 1 species
ACUUAAAUUGAAGAGUUUGAUCAUGGCUCAGAUUGAACGCUGGCGGCAGGCCUAACACAUGCAAGUCGAGCGGUAGCACAGAGAGCUUGCUCUCGGGUGACGAGCGGCGGACGGGUGAGUAAUGUCUGGGAAACUGCCUGAUGGAGGGGGAUAACUACUGGAAACGGUAGCUAAUACCGCAUAACGUCGCAAGACCAAAGUGGGGGACCUUCGGGCCUCAUGCCAUCAGAUGUGCCCAGAUGGGAUUAGCUUGUAGGUGGGGUAACGGCUCACCUAGGCGACGAUCCCUAGCUGGUCUGAGAGGAUGACCAGCCACACUGGAACUGAGACACGGUCCAGACUCCUACGGGAGGCAGCAGUGGGGAAUAUUGCACAAUGGGCGCAAGCCUGAUGCAGCCAUGCCGCGUGUGUGAAGAAGGCCUUCGGGUUGUAAAGCACUUUCAGCGGGGAGGAAGGCGGUGAGGUUAAUAACCUCAUCGAUUGACGUUACCCGCAGAAGAAGCACCGGCUAACUCCGUGCCAGCAGCCGCGGUAAUACGGAGGGUGCAAGCGUUAAUCGGAAUUACUGGGCGUAAAGCGCACGCAGGCGGUCUGUCAAGUCGGAUGUGAAAUCCCCGGGCUCAACCU